AGUGAACGCUGGCGGUAGGCCUAACACAUGCAAGUCGAACGGCAGCACAGUAAGAGCUUGCUCUUACGGGUGGCGAGUGGCGGACCGGUGAGGAAUACAUCGGAAUCUACUUUUUCGUGGGGGCUAACGUAGGGAAACUUACGCUAAUACCGCAUACGUCCUCCGGGUGAAAGCAGGGGAUCUUCUGACCUUGCGCUAUUGAAUGAGCCGAUGUCGGAUUAGCUAGUUGGCUGGGUAAAGGCCCACCAAGGCGACGAUCCGUAGCUGGUCUGAGAGGAUGAUCAGCCACACUGGAACUGAGACACGGUCCAGACUCCUACGGGAGGCAGCAGUGGGGAAUAUUGGACAAUGGGCGCAAGCCUGAUCCAGCCAUACCGCGUGGGUGAAGAAGGCCUUCGGGUUGUAAAGCCCUUUUGUUGGGAAAGAAAAGCAGCAGGUUAAUACCCCGCUGUUCUGACGGUACCCAAAGAAUAAGCACCGGCUAACUUCGUG
rnacentral:rRNA from 1 species